rnacentral:rRNA from 1 species
AGUUUGAUCCUGGCUCAGAGUGAACGCUGGCGGCGUGCUUAACACAUGCAAGUCGAACGGUAACAGCAGAGCUUGCUCUGGCUGACNAGUGGCGCACGGGUGAGUAAUAUAUAGUUAAUGUGCCCCAAAGACUAGGAUNGCCACUGGAAACGGUGAUUAAUACUGGAUAAGCCUCUAUGACAUAAGUCAGCGAGGAAAACGUUUUUUCGCUUUGGGAUCAGACUAUAUCCUAUCAGGUAGUUGGUGAGGUAANNGCUCACCAAGCCAAUGACGGGUAGCGGGUUUGAGAGGAUGAUCCGCCACACUGGUACUGAGACACGGACCAGACUCCUACGGGAGGCAGCAGUGAGGAAUAUUGCACAAUGGAGGGAACUCUGAUGCAGCAACGCCGCGUGGACGAUGACGCAUUUCGGUGUGUAAACUCCUUUUAUAUGUCAAGAAAAUGACGGUAGCAUAUGAAUAAGCACCGGCUAACUCCGUGCCANCAGCCGCGG